rnacentral:rRNA from 1 species
AUGGGCCAUUGGUGGAUAGACUUGGAGAGGCAAAGAAAGUUGAAUGACCUGUACAAUUCAACAGAUAAAAACUGCAUCAGUCAGCUCCGGAUGAGGAAAGAUGUGUUUUGGAAGCUAUCAGCCCAUUUACGUGAUGCCAAACUUGUACGUGAUUCAGUGCAUGUAUCAGUUGAAGAAAAAUUAGCCAUUUUCCUGCAUACGGUUGGCCACAAUUUGAGAAAUAGAGUGGUCGGGUUUUUCCUCACGAGAUCUAGCUAUACAGACUGCAUUGGGGCACUUGAUGGAACCCACAUCCCUGCAUUUGUCCCUGAGAACAUAGCUAACAGAUUUCGAGGUCGGAAGUCAUACCCAACCCAAAAUGUCCUUGCAGUUGUGGACUUUGAUUUGAGGUUUACCUAUGUACUUGCUGGGUGGGAGGGAUCUACUCAUGACUCUGAAGUUCUGAAGGCUGCCCUUAACAGAACAAAUGGGAUUCCAAUGCCAGAAGGCAAAUAUUACUUAGCUGAUGCUGGGUAUGCAGCAAGACCUGUUCAUAAAAUGGAUGAAGCUGAAAGAAAUAUGAGCAGUAAGGGGAAAGAAUGCAAAGGUGACAAGAAUGCAAGUGCAAAAGCUAUAAAUUGGCCUAUAGCUAUAUCUGAGUUUCUUCUUGACUGGUACAUUGAGAAGAAGAUUGAAAUGCCUCCUAAAGCAGUAUUCAAGAAGAUGCAUCACAAUGCUUGCACAUCAGCAAUAAAUGAGAAGUAUGGGUGUUCUUAUAGUGUCCAGCAAGUUCAUUGUCACUUUAGGUGUCAUAAGGAGACAUGGGGGCAAGUGGCUAGGUACAGCAAUGAGAGUGGUAGCGGUUUUGAUGAUGUCAACAAACAAGUGCUGCUCUCUCAAUCUACUCUGGAUACACUAUCGUUCUACGACAAGUUGAAAGAACUAUUUAGUGGUUCCUCAGCCGAUGGCUCUUUUAUGCAAGACCCUUUCUCUGCAGCUGAAACUGACAAUGAUGAUAAGGCAAAAGAUGACAUGAUGAAUGAUAUGUCCACCUAUGAUGAAGCAAAGGGUCCAACAGGUCAUGACUCAGAUAAAUUAGAUACAGAUAGUGAUGAUUGUGAAGCGGUGGCUGCUCUUGCUGCAACUAAUAGUCAAGUUUCAUCAUCCAAUGUUGGUGCUCUAAAGCCUAACAAGAAAAGUUUCAAAAAAACUACCAAGGCAAAUACUCUCCCACCACCACAAAAUGAUAAAGCUAAAAAGUCAAAGGCGAGAUCAUCUCAAGCAUCACAGGAUGACACUGAUAUGGAUGUGCUGCUCACAAGUACCUUGAUAGGCAUACGAGAGACCCUUGCAAGUCCAGUACAGACUGUAGCCCCAAAGGACCCAAAUGCUCCUUUAUGGGACAUGCUCAAGAAGAUUCCAUUGCCACCUGAUGAGAGGAUGUCGGUCAGGAUGCAUCUAUGCAAGCCAGAAUUUGUAGUUCAUCGUGGUUUCCUUGUCAGCAUGGGUCGGGAAUGCCUGGAGCGUUGGGUGUACACAUACUUAUCCGACAAUGAUCCUACUGGCAAACGUGGUGGCGAUGGUCCUGCUGGUAACCUUGGCGACGAUGGUCCGGCUGGUGACCUUGGUGAUGAUGCUGCAGUUAACUCCAGUACUUUCUAA